CCUACGGGUGGCAGCAGUGGGGAAUAUUGGACAAUGGGCGAAAGCCUGAUCCAGCCAUGCCGCGUGUGUGAAGAAGGCCUUCGGGUUGUAAAGCACUUUCAGUGGGGAAGAAAGCCUUGGGGCUAAUACCCUCGAGGAAGGACAUCACCCACAGAAGAAGCACCGGCUAACUCCGUGCCAGCAGCCGCGGUAAUACGGAGGGUGCGAGCGUUAAUCGGAAUUACUGGGCGUAAAGCGCGCGUAGGCGGUCUGAUAAGCCGGUUGUGAAAGCCCCGGGCUCAACCUGGGAACGGCAUCCGGAACUGUCAGGCUAGAGUGCAGGAGAGGGAGGUAGAAUUCCCGGUGUAGCGGUGAAAUGCGUAGAGAUCGGGAGGAAUACCAGUGGCGAAGGCGGCCUUCUGGACUGACACUGACGCUGAGGUGCGAAAGCGUGGGUAGCAAACGGGAUUAGAUACCCGAGUAGUC
rnacentral:rRNA from 1 species